rnacentral:rRNA from 1 species
GACGAACGCUGGCGGCGUGCCUAACACAUGCAAGUCGAACGAGUGGCGAACGGGUGAGUAAUACGUGGGUAACUUGCCCUCUUUAUGGGAUAAGCCUUGGAAACGGGGUCUAAUACCGAUUAAAGGGGGAUGGGCUCGCGGGGGAUCAGCUUGUUGGUGGGGUGAUGGCCUACCAAGGCGGCGUCGGGUAGCCGGCCUGAGAGGGUGACCAGCCACACUGGGACUGAGACACGGCCCAGACUCCUACGGGAGGCAGCAGUGGGGAAUAUUGCACAAUGGGCGAAAGCCUGAUGCAGCCAGGCCGCGUGGGGGAUGAAGGCUUUCGGGUUGUAAAGCUCUGUUAUUAGGGAGGCGUUACCUAAAGAGAAAGCCCCGGCUAACUACGUGCCAGCAGCCGCGGUAAUAC